rnacentral:rRNA from 1 species
CGGACGGGUGAGUAACACAUAGGAAUCUGCCCAGUAGCGGGGGACAACUUGGGGAAACUCAAGCUAAUACCGCAUACGCCCUACGGGGGAAAGCGGGGGACCUUCGGGCCUCGCACUAUUGGAUGAGCCUAUGUCAGAUUAGCUUGUUGGUGGGGUAAUGGCCUACCAAGGCGACGAUCUGUAGCUGGUCUGAGAGGACGAUCAGCCACACUGGGACUGAGACACGGCCCAG